rnacentral:rRNA from 1 species
AUGACCCGGUCUACUCCAAGCUCGCAGCAUGCUCGCAAUCCUUGUUUUCUGCUUUCUACAACAACAGGCACGGGCAGUAGGAUUCCCAUGCUGCUGGCACCACCGUGGUUGAUGACGUGUUGCUACGGCGGUGGCACCGACAGACCGAGGGUCAGCUCCAAUAAAAAUCAAUUAAUUUGCAUGAAGAAGAUGCGCCAAGUUGUGAUAUCCACACGCUGGAGAGUAUCUAUAGCUACGUACAGUGUUAAGUUAUUUGGGUUUUAUUUCCACUUGUCAGAUUAUUUCAACCACAUCCGUUGUUUGUCUUAUCUCCUUCAUGCGUACCAUGUAGGAUAUAUUUUUGGCAUAAUAAUUUCAAGUUCUCAUUCUAACGGGCAUUUAUGA